rnacentral:rRNA from 1 species
AUGCCGCGUGCAGGAGAAGGCCUUCUGGGUUGUAAACUGCUUUACCAGGGAAGAAAACGCGCCUGCGGGCGUAACUGACGGUACCUGGUGAAUAAGCACCGGCUAACUCCGUGCCAGCAGCCGCGGUAAUACGGAGGGUGCAAGCGUUGUCCGGAUUUAUGGGUUUAAAGGGUGCGUAGGCGGCCCGUUAAGUCAGCGGUGAAAUCCCAGGGCUCAACCCUGGAACUGCCGUUGAUACUGGCGGGCUUGAGUUCGGUCGAGGCGGGCGGAACUGGUGGUGUAGCGGUGAAAUGCAUAGAUACCACCAAGAACCCCGAUUGCGAAGGCAGCUCGCUGGCCCGAAACUGACGCUGAGGCACGAAAGCGUGGGGAGCGAACAGGAUUAGAUACCCUGGUAGUCCACGCCGUAAACGAUGAUCACUCGAUGUUUGCGAUACACGGCAAGCGUCCAAGCGAAAGCGUUAAGUGAUCCACCUGGGGAGUACGCCCGCAAGGGUG